rnacentral:lncRNA from 1 species
CUCAUUUUCCACCGGAAGGAGGGAGAAAUUAUGACCGAGAGCCUGACACCUGAUGCUAGCGGCUUUUGUCUCGCCAAGUUGACCCAGUAUUUGGCCACCUUGUGCGGCGGGUGACUAUGGUGUCCAGGUAUAUAUAUGUAUUACCUGAAAGCCCAGGGCAGUUGUUGCCUUGGGUCAUGCAGAGAAUAUGCAGCCACACCCAUGCCUUAGAUGUGUGUAAUUCAAGUGGAGAAGACACAAGCCAGUGGUCGCAAUAUCAACACUUGAGUGUUCUGUAAACGGAUUGGUGUCAGCAGAAAACCAACAGUGAUGUGGUGGCACACAGUGAACUGACAGGACCCAGGCAGCAGCGGUUCUUUUGGUGGCAAUGGUGCCAUGUCAUGGGUACUCUCCUUGCUGAUGGCAGAUACCGACAGGCAAACUGUUGCCUUGCGUUUAGCUCUGUUAACCAUUGACAGUAAGAUUUAUCAGAGGUUGCAGCUGCACAUGGCCAUGAGGUAAACCUUGCCCCUGUUUGAAAUUGAGUUUCAUCAGCUUCUACAUGGGAUUAUAAGGACUUGGAAUAUAUCACAGACCCAGCAGGGUUUCCCCCCUCAUUUUUUUUUUUUAAGAUUUAUUUUUCUUCCUAAAGAUAACAUGCUUAAACAAAGUUCUUUAUGGUUAGUAACUGUGAUGCUUGAAGUUGGUUAUCCCUUACUCCAGUAAAUUUUAAAUGUCAAAGAUAUCUUGUUAAAUAAAAAAAAAACUAUC